UACGGAGGAUGCGAGCGUUAUCCGGAUUUAUUGGGUGUAAAGGGAGCGUAGACGGUUAUGUAAGUCUGGAGUGAAAGCCCGGGGCCCAACCCCGGGACUGCUCUGGAAACUGUUAAACUGGAGUGCACGCAGGGGUGCCGGAAUUCAUGGUGUAGCGGUGAAAUGCUUAGAUAUCAUGAAGAACUCCGAUCGCGAAGGCAAGUGCCCGGAGUGCAACUGACGCUCAUGCACGAAAGCGUGGGUAUCGA
rnacentral:rRNA from 1 species